rnacentral:rRNA from 1 species
AAUACGACUCUUGGCUCUCGCAUCGAUGAAGAACGUAGCGAAAUGCGAUACUUGGUGUGAAUUGCAGAAUCCCGUGAACCAUCGAGUGUUUGAACGCAAGUGCGCCCGAGGCCUUUAGGUCAAGGCACGUCUGCCUGGGCGUCACAAUCA